UUUGACCAAAUUCUGGAUUUCGUUUAAAUUACACUUAAUCGACCCCAAAUUUCACGUAGAUCACGAAUUUUUGGUUUAUCUUGUCGACAGCUCAAAGGUUAAGGAGCUAUCGCUUACUUCCGGUAUACUUCCGGAAAAUUUGCAUGAAACUUACAAGUGAGCUUUGUUCUCUGUAGAAUUCUGAAGAUUCCAUGUUAAUUUAAGCAAAGAGAGAUGGUCUUUUUGAUUACUUUUAUGACUUGUGACUAUCUAAGGCCAGUCCUUUAGAUAUUGAGUUUUGAAGGUGUCAAAUAGAUGGCGUGAAAGAAUGUUGUUUGUUGUGUCACAUAUGGGCUAAUGGGGGUUCGUUGUCAAAAGUUCAGCUACAGCGAUCUUCUUCGAAAAUUACCAAUGAAUUCGUUGGAAAAAAUGUGAAAGGUGCAUGAAGCCAGUACCCAGUACCGUCAACUAUUGUGUUAAAAAUCCUGGUAUCCUACAGAAUAUGUCAUCCAAAUGACAGAGUGGAUUCAUCACUAUUAUCGGCUGAAUCAUUCUAUGGGACUUGCCAGAUCGCCAACCCAAGCAUGGACCAAUAUCUCAUUCCAUCUUCUAGAGAACCUUACAUAACCGAUUGGUGGUUUAGUGUGUUUUAGGUUUCUAAUGUAGCAUGGUAGACUUUAUGAGAAGUCAUGUUGUUUGAAGAAAAAGGACUAUACAGUCGACAAGGUUCUUUGCUAACCUGUUGGCUGCUACCCUUGAAUCUCCCUGUUUACUUCCUUACACUGGUCCUCUUGAUUAAGGGGUAAUCCUUCGCUACUGAUCAUACACCCACUUGUGAAAACCGACGAGAGAAUGCUGUA